GGAGCUGUGGCUCAGUGGUAAAACAUCUUCCUGGCAUGCAGAAGAUCCCAGCUUAAAUCCCUGGCAAUUUCA
rnacentral:tRNA from 1 species